rnacentral:piRNA from 1 species
UGAAUCUAUACAGCCAGCCCAGGAAUCC